GCUGAUUUCGCUGUCUAUCCGCUCUACGUGCACAACUAAGCAGGUAGUGCGCAGAGCGCGGCUAAAGGGGAGGCUGAAGAACAAAAUAAAGUCGCAAAAAGGAAAUCUUCAGGGUCACGAAUAAAAGGAGAAAGGAGUAAGAGAAGAGGGAAACAACGGCGAGAUAUAGACAACAAAUAGCUGCAGCUGGGAUGGAGGCUUCCCAGUUGGUUCUCACCCACAGACUCCAGACUGGGACAUGUCUGCUCACAAGCGACUCUCAAGAAAGAAAGAAGCCCUGAACCUUUUGUA